rnacentral:tRNA from 1 species
AAGACUUGUAGAACUUUACUCCACAUCUUCUGACUGCAACCCAGACACUUUAAUUAAGCUAAAGCCUU